AAAUCUUUUUUUGAAUAAAAGCAGUGUCAUUUUUGGCGUAUUGAAUUCUGAUAACUUAGAUAUUGGAAGAUGUGGUGUUAGUACCAAUGAGACAACUCUCCAUCCAAAUUACAAUUUAUAAAAGUAAACCAUUAUAGGUCAAAGUAUGGCCUUCAACACGGAGCCUUGACUCACACCGAGCAACAAGCUAUAUAAAUCUAAGUUUUAAAUUAUUGUAUUCUACAAGCAAAUUAUUACAUUAAUUAUGUAAAGAACACACAAUUAAAUUUUUGAAAAGAAGUCUGGAGAUAUUAGAAUAUUUUCAUAUUUCUAAAGACAAACACUUUUGUCAUUUGUCAAC
rnacentral:lncRNA from 1 species